rnacentral:lncRNA from 1 species
AGGAGAACAUUUCCCCCAUUUAGGUUGGUUACAUGCUGUUAAUAAAAUAACUCGUGGAUCAAUGAAUAAAACGUGAUAUUCUUAACAAAAUCAGUUACAGUCUAGCAAAUAAAAAAUCGCCAUCUAUCAUUCUUCUUAAAUGACUGAAUUGACACAAAACUUACAGAGAUAUCUACAAAUACCCCCGUUCUGCAGAGAAAGACGUGCAAUUGGGUAAGAUUGAUAUUAAAGGAAGAUAAAUAAUGCGAAAAAAGGGUGAAAGGGUAUUAUAAGCCCUGCAUACAUUGAGUGCCUAUAGAUUGCUAUACAAUAAUGGGAAGGGUGAUCCACAGUUGGAAAUUGCACACCACAUAGCAACUUUACGCCAGCAGGGAUACUAAAGCGAUCUCGAAUUUCAUCCAAAUCAUUCUCGUUAAUAUUAGUAAAAAUCUCUGAGGCCGCAAAGACCUCUCUAUCCUUUAUAUUAAUAUCCAAGUCAAUUAAAGGGUUGUAAACCUCAUCGACCCUGGACUGAGAACUAUCCCUGGAAAUUCUAGUUAGCCCCGAAAGUAGAUAGAUUCGCUUAAAAAAAGACCAUGACUCAGCGUGACGAGAUCUUUUGAAGAGGAAAGUAUGCCAGGAGAAGAAUCCCUAAGUCUAGAACUUUCAACUUCAAAAUCUUGUGACAUAUUUUGGGACUCGCUUUGAGAACAGCAAUACAAGACUUUAAUUGAUGCAAUUUUAAAAAUGAAGCAGUAGUAUAAACAAAUAAUAGAUAGAGCUCAAGGACUCCUUGUUGUUUAGUUGCUCAAACUUCUGCUGUGUGGCCCUAGUAUCCUAUCAUUCUUUGCAGAUGUCUUCCAGUCCAAAAGUCACUCCCUGUUGAUUGUAAUUUAUACUGGUUAUUGCUCUGGUCUGUUGCGGGUUGGAAGUACAAUGAAAUAUUAUCUGACAGUCAAUUGCACAAUAGCCAAUGACGGUCGCCAAAGAGAGUGGCGGACGUAGGCGGCUGCUUUGGGCGAUGCUCUUGCCAACAUGAGUUAUAUCCGACGGAUGAGUGGAAUUGAUUCUUGUUGUCGGUCGUUGGUUACUAAAGACAAAAGAUGGUGGCAUACUGGGUAGCAGGUAGCUGUAUGUAGAGGGUUAUUUUGCAAUCCCGCUAUGGGUACAGGGAAACUUCUACCGAAUUCCUACAGGAUUUUAAAAGUAAUUACGUGGCAGGUAAUUAAAAAACAAAAUGAAGAAAAGAAAAACCCAAAUGCUGAAGAAUUAAGUCGUCUCUGUAAUCUUCAUUUUACCCCACCAUCGAAGACAACCCUUUAUACCCAAUACCAACGCCGUUCACUGAUCGUCGAACGAACCCAACGAAGGUGAAAUCGACCCUGGUACUAACCUCCACCUUAAGUCGGCGAUGAAGUAGCGCAGCAAAGAACACCCAAAGUAAUUUGUGAAAUUCGCGACUGUAGCACUAACCUCCUUCGCCUCCAGCCGAAUCAACAGAUAACAUUGGGUAAGCAUUCUGUUGGGCAUAUCUAUAUUUGCAUAUAGCUUCGAGAAGACGUUGGUUUUUAUGCGUGUAAGAAUGCUAUACUCAUGGCUAUUUCUUUUGGAAUUAGAACCAUCAUUUAAACCGUUGGUUUUUAUGCGUGUACGAAUGCUAUACUCAUGGCUAUUUCUUUUGGAAUUAGAACCACCAUUUAAACCGUAUUUGAGGACAAAGAGUUUUAAACCUGUGAUAGAACUCUCAAACAUCAUGAUAUCCACAGUGUGUAGUUCGGUUUCUCUCCAAUAGUCACCUUAAAUUUCAGUAUUCCCACCUCACACAGCAUCAAAACAAUGGUUGUUACUUCACAUAGAGCUCAUUAUGAAGACUACUAUUCUUCAUUACAGAUAAAGUAAAGUUAUUGAAAUUUGCACUCUUCAGUGUGCAAUGCUUUCUUCAAAUUAUAAUUCAUGGGCAAAAUUGAGUGACUGCCACAAGUUGUUGCUAGAAAAACUCUUUAAAAUGGACGGCUCUCCAACUAUUUAAAGAAAUGUGACACUGGAGUUUUGUGUUAUGUUUGGUUGUGAUGUGCUUGAGAUUAAAAUUGAUGUGUUUGUAAGAAUUUCUACUUCAUCUUGCGAGAUUUAGUAAACUCCGUAUAAGAAUGUUAUGUUGCUGAAAGUUGAAGAUUACUGACUGGAACUUCAAAUAUUUGAGUUUGUUCAUGAACAUAAAUUAACACUGUUUCAUUUACAGCAAUCGACAAGAAUGAGAGGGAAAAUUUUGGAGUAUGUCACGGUUGUAGAAGAAACACGCAUUAUUUUGGACAAUGCCAAUCAAAACGCCGAUGCCCUAGUUGUGACCACGGAUAUUGAAAAUGUUUUGAGGUCAAACGGGAUACCAGUAACAAAGGGCGAUUGUUCUUUACAUGUAGUGAUAACUGUGGAUACUUUGAUUGGGUGAAAAAUGAAGUUGUAGGUGACGAAUCGAGUUUCGUUAAUCGUCCAGAUGCGCCCGACAAGGAAGAUGAAGAGUUCCCGAGACAGUUCGAUGGGCUAGCUAGAAUUAGCGAGAAAUGAGGCGUCGACAUAUCAUUGCACAUGACUUUCAAUAAGGAAAAAUGAAUAGAUAAAUGCAACGGGAAGGGAAAGGGGUCAGAUUAAAUGGGUGAUUUGAGUUAUUGUAUGUGGUUGACACACUAAUGUGAUGUGAAUUUCAGACGUGUUUAAGGAUAUGUUGGUGUUAUUUCAAUUUGUAUUUUGUAUGUUUUGAAAUGUGAAUAUACUGUCCUUAAUUUAUGUAUGCAGCCUAGGUUAGUAGAUACAAGAGUUAUGUGUGUUCUAUAUCCCAUCUACAGUAUUUGGUUUGGGGUUACUCUUGAUGCUGUCUAUCAAUAAUCUUGUUUGCAGUAAAUGGGUGUUAAUGAUGUUUGCAGUGAAUGGGUGUUCUAUAUCCCAUCUACAUGUCCCUCUUGUUUGCAG